rnacentral:lncRNA from 1 species
UUUAAGGUAAAAUAAUAGACCCAAACAGAAAAUAAGUGUAUGCGUUUGAUAUUAUUGGGAUGGAAUUUUGAGGAUUUCAAAAUUCUGUGAAGGAUUUAGGUGAAUUAUUCAGGAUUAAGUGUAUACAUGACUAUGUUUUGUGUAUAUGGUUAUGUAUGUGUUUGGAAUGUGGUUAAGGCUCAAGGGUUGACCAGAUAAAUUUUAUCAGUGUCGAACCCUAAUAUUAUUAAGAACGUUAACGUUCAGUUAGAAACCCUAACGAUAUGUUCAGAAACCCUAAUUUCUGUUUCGAGAAUUCAAAACCCUAAUUCGGAUAUUCAAAACCCUAAUUUGAG